rnacentral:rRNA from 1 species
UACGGUAGGGCGCAAGCGUUUAUCCGGAAUUAUUGGGGCGUAAAAGGAGCUCGUAGGCGGUUUGUCGCGUCUGCCGUGAAAGUCCGGGGCUCAACCCCGGACUUGCAGUGGGUACGGGCAGACUAGAGUGUGGUAGGGGAGACUGGAAUUCCGUGGUGUAGCGGUGAAAUGCGUAGAUAUCGGGAGGAACACCAGUGGCGAAGGCGGCGAUCUGGGAAGAUACGUGACGCUGAGACGGCGAAAGCGUGGGGAGCAAACAGG